AUAUUGUUUAAACAAAAACAAAACAUAUGAAGCGUCAUCCUUCAAGUUUUAAUUUUUGCAUCGGAUUUGUUAGAAGUGCUAAAAAUUUCACAAUGAAGAGUCUGUGAUUUGAGUGAAUGGAAGGCCAAAAAGACAUGGCCUCUUCUUAGAAGUUUUAUGAGGACGAUUUACUUUUUCUGCUUAUUGAAAAAAGAAGUGAAGUUUUGAGAGAUUUGUUCCUCUAGAUACAGAGGAACUUGACUGCUUAGAAAUGGACUAAUUAGGAGAACAUGUUCUGCCUGAUGCAGCAGAUGCUCCAGGAUCAGAAGCAAGUGAAAGUUAACAGAUAAAAUCAGAUUGCAUGGUGCUUACAUAUGAAGGAAGUCAAAACAAAAAGAAUUGAAAAAGAUAACCACUUUUAUAUUCAUCAUUUUAAGUACUCGUAAUAACAUUUUAUGUAUGAGAUUUAGGUUAUGUUGGGAACAGAUCUAAAAUAUUUAUGGGAUUUAUUUAAAAUCCAUAUUUAUUUCCAUUAAGAUGUUAUGUAAUCUCUAGUAGGACAAAAAUUGAUAGAAUUUGAAUGCCACUUUUCUAAUUUCACGUGGAAUUUCAUGUUAGGUAAAGUUUUAUUAUUUCAGCCAGUAUUUUCAUUCUCUUUGGUAAAAUAAGUGUAAAUUUGCAAACAAAUUUCAUAAAAUUUCAAUAUUUGCUCCAAACAUAGUCUUGACUGGAUGAACAACAUGAGAAACUAUAAGAAGAUAAAAUAUGCAAUGAUAACUGACCUGGAGUACCCUGCUUGUUGCUCCAAGCUUGAUUCCCAAAAGACUGCUCUUUCCAUGAUCCAAUCCCAUCAGAGCUUGAGGUGCUCCUCCCUGCCAACUGAAACUUGAAAAAGAAGACUUCGGAAGAUUGGCCCAGACAUCCGAUGACAGAACUCAGGAUUUUAUCGCAUCGAAUUACCCUUUCAAGAGAAGAAUUUGUAGGACAAAAAACAAGGAGGAACAAGAACAAUAUAGAGAGAAAAGAACCCCAUCUUUUCAGUUCAACAAGCAGAAGUUGAGCCAGUUUCGUCAACCUCCAAACAAGAACAAGCAGGGCAUCUUACCCUUUAGCUCUUGAUUGGUCCUAUAAACUCUCUCUAUAGUGGGCAUUCUAGCUUAUAAUUUUCUAUACCAUAAAGACAACCAAUAAAGAUUUCUCUAGAGCAACAUAUACAUAUAAUAAAAGCUUUAUUCUAGCUACAAGCACUAGAGAAAAGAUUAUUUCCAGCUUGGACUGGAAUGAAAUCUUCCAUCCUUCUUUCAAUUCUUAAGUCAAUAUGUUCUCAGAAUAAAAAAGAAGCUCAAUUACUAUAUGUCUGAAGUAAAACCACAAAAUGGAAAAGUGCCACCCAAUUAGCCAAGAACAAAAAAGAGAAGAAAUUCAAACUCUGGUAAUUAACAUAAUAGAAAAUCAUGAUAUCAUAUAUAUAAUAUACAAAUACAUAUAUUCAUAAAUACGUAUAUAAAAACAUGAAUAUGUAUGUGUGUUGAAGUAAGCAUGGUUGGUGUAUGGUGGUGUAUGUAUAAAGCUGUGAACAUCAAAUGUACAUACCGUA
rnacentral:lncRNA from 1 species